rnacentral:rRNA from 1 species
UACAGAGGUCUCAAGCGUUGUUCGGAUUCAUUGGGCGUAAAGGGUGCGUAGGCGGCGAGGCAAGUCUGGUGUGAAAUCCCGGGGCUCAACUCCGGAACUGCACUGGAUACUGCUUUGCUAGAGUACUGGAGAGGGAACUGGAAUUUACGGUGUAGCAGUGGAAUGCGUAGAUAUCGUAAGGAAGACCAGCGGCGAAGGCGAGUUCCUGGACAGUUACUGACGCUGAGGCACGAAGGCCAGGGGAGCAAACGGG